rnacentral:rRNA from 1 species
AGUGCAUCAGGUGGAUGCCUUGGCGAUGAUAGGCGACGAAGGACGUGUAAGCCUGCGAAAAGCGCGGGGGAGCUGGCAAUAAAGCUAUGAUCCCGCGGUGUCCGAAUGGGGAAACCCACCUCUUAGAAGGUAUCCUUAUCUGAAUACAUAGGAUAAGCGAAGCGAACCCGGAGAACUGAACCAUCUAAGUACCCGGAGGAAAAGAAAUCAACCGAGAUUCCGCAAGUAGUGGCGAGCGAACGCGGAGGAGCCUGUACGUGAUAACUGUCGAGAUAGAAGAACAAGCUGGGAAGCUUGACCAUAGUGGGUGAUAGUCCCGUAUUCGAAAUCUCAACAGUGGUACUAAGCGUACGAAAAGUAGGGCGGGACACGUGAAAUCCUGUCUGAAUAUGGGGGGACCAUCCUCCAAGGCUAAAUACUCAUCAUCGACCGAUAGUGAACCAGUACCGUGAGGGAAAGGCGAAAAGAACCCCGGGAGGGGAGUGAAAUAGAACCUGAAACCUGAUGCAUACAAACAGUGGGAGCACCCAUGUGGUGUGACUGCGUACCUUUUGUAUAAUGGGUCAACGACUUACAUUCAGUAGCGAGCUUAACCGAAUAGGGGAGGCGUAGGGAAACCGAGUCUUAAUAGGGCGAACAGUUGCUGGGUGUAGACCCGAAACCGAGUGAUCUAUCCAUGGCCAGGUUGAAGGUGCCGUAACAGGUACUGGAGGACCGAACCCACGCAUGUUGCAAAAUGCGGGGAUGAGCUGUGGAUAGGGGUGAAAGGCUAAACAAACUCGGAGAUAGCUGGUUCUCCCCGAAAACUAUUUAGGUAGUGCCUCGAGCAAGACACUGAUGGGGGUAAAGCACUGUUAUGGCUAGGGGGUUAUUGCAACUUACCAACCCAUGGCAAACUAAGAAUACCAUCAAGUGGUUCCUCGGGAGACAGACAGCGGGUGCUAACGUCCGUUGUCAAGAGGGAAACAACCCAGACCGCCAGCUAAGGUCCCAAAUGAUAGAUUAAGUGGUAAACGAAGUGGGAAGGCCCAGACAGCCAGGAUGUUGGCUUAGAAGCAGCCAUCAUUUAAAGAAAGCGUAAUAGCUCACUGGUCGAGUCGUCCUGCGCGGAAGAUGUAACGGGGCUCAAAUCUAUAACCGAAGCUGCGGAUGCCAGUUUACUGGCAUGGUAGGGGAGCGUUCUGUAGGCCGAUGAAGGUGCAUUGUAAAGUGUGCUGGAGGUAUCAGAAGUGCGAAUGUUGACAUGAGUAGCGAUAAAGCGGGUGAAAAGCCCGCUCGCCGAAAGCCCAAGGUUUCCUACGCAACGUUCAUCGGCGUAGGGUGAGUCGGCCCCUAAGGCGAGGCAGAAAUGCGUAGUCGAUGGGAAACAGGUUAAUAUUCCUGUACUUGAUUCAAAUGCGAUGUGGGGACGGAGAAGGUUAGGUUAGCAAGCUGUUGGAAUAGCUUGUUUAAGCCGGUAGGUGGAAGACUUAGGCAAAUCCGGGUCUUCUUAACACCGAGAAGUGACGACGAGUGUCUACGGACAUGAAGUAACCGAUACCACGCUUCCAGGAAAAGCCACUAAGCUUCAGUUUGAAUCGAACCGUACCGCAAACCGACACAGGUGGGCAGGAUGAGAAUUCUAAGGCGCUUGAGAGAACUCGGGAGAAGGAACUCGGCAAAUUGAUACCGUAACUUCGGGAGAAGGUAUGCCCUCUAAGGUUAAGGACUUGCUCCGUAAGCCCUGGAGGGUCGCAGAGAAUAGGUGGCUGCGACUGUUUAUUAAAAACACAGCACUCUGCUAACACGAAAGUGGACGUAUAGAGUGUGACGCCUGCCCGGUGCUGGAAGGUUAAUUGAAGAUGUGCAAGCAUCGGAUCGAAGCCCCAGUAAACGGCGGCCGUAACUAUAACGGUCCUAAGGUAGCGAAAUUCCUUGUCGGGUAAGUUCCGACCCGCACGAAUGGCGUAACGAUGGCCACACUGUCUCCUCCCGAGACUCAGCGAAGUUGAAGUGGUUGUGAAGAUGCAAUCUACCCGCUGCUAGACGGAAAGACCCCGUGAACCUUUACUGUAGCUUUGCAUUGGACUUUGAAGUCACUUGUGUAGGAUAGGUGGGAGGCUU